rnacentral:rRNA from 1 species
UACGUAGGGGGCAAGCGUUGUCCGGAAUUAUUGGGCGUAAAGAGCGCGUAGGCGGUCCGAUAAGUCGGCUGUGAAAGUCAGGGGCUCAACCCUUGAAAGCCGGCCGAUACUGUCGGACUAGAGUCCGGAAGAGGCAAGUGGAAUUCCCGGUGUAGUGGUGAAAUGCGUAGAUAUCGGGAGGAACACCAGUGGCGAAGGCGACUUCCUGGCCUGUUCUUGACGCUGAGGCGCGAAAGCUAGGGGAGCAAACGGG